GGCAGCGGCGGCUGCAGCCUCGCUCUCGUCCCUGCGGCUGGCGGCGGAGCCGUGUGUCUCCUCCUCCGCCGCCGCCAUAUUGUCUGUGUGAGGAGAGGGGAGAGCGGCCGCUGCUGCCGCUUCCACCACAGUUUAAAGAAAACAGGUCUGAAACAAGGUCUUACCCCCAGCUGCUUCUGAACACAGUGACCACCAGAUCUCCAAACAUCAAGUCCACCUUCGUUCGCCAACCUGUCUGACAUGUCGGGACCCGUGCCAAGCAGGGCCAGAGUUUACACAGAUGUUAAUACACACAGACCCCGAGAGUACUGGGAUUAUGAGUCACACGUGGUGGAGUGGGGUAAUCAAGAUGACUACCAGCUGGUUCGAAAAUUAGGCCGGGGUAAAUACAGUGAAGUAUUUGAAGCUAUCAACAUCACAAAUAAUGAAAAAGUUGUUGUUAAAAUUCUCAAGGUGAGUAUAAGA